rnacentral:rRNA from 1 species
AGACGCAGAGAACUGAAACAUCUUAGUACCUGCAGGAAGAGAAAGAAAAUUCGAUUCCCUGAGUAGCGGCGAGCGAAACGGGAAGAGCCCAAACCAACAAGCUUGCUUGUUGGGGUUGUAGGACUCCAAUAUGGUAGUCUGUUAGUAUAGUUGAAGGAUUUGGAAAAUUCCGCUAAAGAGGGUGAAAGCCCCGUAGACGAAAUGCUGACAACACCUAGGAGGAUCCUGAGUACGGCGGAACACGAGAAAUUCCGU